AUUGAACGCUGGCGGCAGGCCUAACACAUGCAAGUCGAACGAGUGGCGGACGGGUUAGUAAUGUCUGGGAAACUGCCCGAUGGAGGGGGAUAACUACUGGAAACGGUAGCUAAUACCGCAUACCAUCGGAUGUGCCCAGAUGGGAUUAGCUGGUAGGUGAGGUAACGGCUCACCUAGGCGACGAUCCCUAGCUGGUCGGAGAGGAUGACCCGCCACACUGGAACUGAGACACGGUCCAGACUCCUACGGGAGGCAGCAGUGGGGAAUAUUGCCAAAGUGGCGCAAGCGUGAGACAUCCCGGCCGCGUGUAUGAAGAAGGCCUUCGGGUUGUAAAGUACUUUCAGCGGGGAGGCGUUACCCGCAGAAGAAGCACCGGCUAACUCCGUGCCAGCAGCCGCGGUAAUAC
rnacentral:rRNA from 1 species